UAACUCGUUGGAAAGAUUACAAGGACGACCAGAAAUACUACAACAGCUUUGUGUCACAGCUAAAUGGGCGCUUGUCCGUUAACACUGAGGACAAGGCAACAAAGGAAGCUUGCACCGAUAUGCUACGCUCUGCGGUAAAAAACCAGCGUUAUCGGCUCAAGCAGAAAUACUUCAAUGGUGUACCUGCAAAUGAGAUUAGGACAACUUCUCCUGUAUCUUACAUGACUGAUGAAUAGUGGAGGGCAUUAGUUGCAAAGUGGUCUGAUCCAAAGAACAUGGAAAUAAGUGAAAAGAACAAGCAGAACCGCAGUCAAGUCAAGUUUCAUCAGGCUACGGGUUCUCGCUGCUAUGUGGCACACUUACAUGCAUAUAAGCAGAAGAGAAACAGAGAAGAACCCAGCUUAGAUCAGACGAAAGAACUAGAUGCGGUGGACGCCUUCAAGACCUGCCAUACCA